rnacentral:miRNA from 1 species
GUAGGUCUGGUUUGGAACAUGGGAGGAGUCGACGUUUUUACAAGGUCCCAGAUGAUGCUGAUGUGAGUGGUUCCUGGACUACCUCUCUGAGUAGCGC